rnacentral:rRNA from 1 species
CGCCCUUAGAGUUUGAUCAUGGCUCAGGACGAACGCUGGCGGCGUGCCUAAUACAUGCAAGUCGAACGCAGCUUGCUUUGGUAAGAUGAGUGGCGAACGGGUGAGUAACACGUGGGUAACCUGCCUAUCAGAGGGGGAUAACACUUGGAAACAGGUGCUAAUACCGCAUAGAUUUCUUUCGCAUGAAAAGAGAGGAAAGACGUACGUGUCACUGAUAGAUGGACCCGCGGUGCAUUAGCUAGUUGGUGAGGUAACGGCUCACCAAGGCCAUGAUGCAUAGCCGACCUGAGAGGGUGAUCGGCCACACUGGGACUGAGACACGGCCCAGACUCCUACGGGAGGCAGCAGUAGGGAAUCUUCGGCAAUGGACGAAAGUCUGACCGAGCAACGCCGCGUGAGUGAAGAAGGUUUUCGGAUCGUAAAACUCUGUUGUUAGAGAAGAACAGGUAGGAGUGACUUCCUGCCAUGACGGUAUCUAACCAGAAAGCCACGGCUAACUACGUGCCAGCAGCCGCGGUAAUACGUAGGUGGCAAGCGUUGUCCGGAUUUAUGGGCGUAAAGCGAGCGCAGGCGGUUUCUUAAGUCUGAUGUGAAAGCCCCCGGCUUAACCGGGAGGGUCAUUGGAAACUGGGAGACUUGAGUGCAGAGGAGGAGAGUGGAAUUCCAUGUGU